rnacentral:rRNA from 1 species
AGUGAACGCUGGCGGUAGGCCUAACACAUGCAAGUCGAACGGCAGCACAGUAAGAGCUUGCUCUUACGGGUGGCGAGUGGCGGACGGGUGAGGAAUACAUCGGAAUCUACUUUUUCGUGGGGGAUAACGUAGGGAAACUUACGCUAAUACCGCAUACGACCUACGGGUGAAAGCAGGGGAUCUUCGGACCUUGCGCGAUUGAAUGAGCCGAUGUCGGAUUAGCUAGUUGGCGGGGUAAAGGCCCACCAAGGCGACGAUCCGUAGCUGGUCUGAGAGGAUGAUCAGCCACACUGGAACUAGGACACGGUCCAGACUCCUACGGGAGGCAGCAGUGGGGAAUAUUGGACAAUGGGCGCAAGCCUGAUCCAGCCAUACCGCGUGGGUGAAGAAGGCCUUCGGGUUGUAAAGCCCUUUUGUUGGGAAAGAAAAGCAGCAGGUUAAUACCCCGCUGUUCUGACGGUACCCAAAGAAUAAGCACCGGCUAACUUCGU